rnacentral:rRNA from 1 species
ACCGGCAUCGGUUGGAUAUUAAAUAUUUAUAGGAUAGAGAUGGNNNNNNGUGACAUUAGCUAGUUGGUAGGGNNNNNGCUUACCAAGGCGACGAUGUCUAGGGGUUUUGAGAGGAGAAUCCCCCCACACUGGUACUGAGACACGGACCAGACUCCUACGGGAGGCAGCAGUAAGGAAUAUUGGUCAAUGGGCGGAAGCCUGAACCAGCCAUGCCGCGUGNNNNAUGACUGNNNUAUGGGUUGUAAACUGCUUUUGUCCAGGAAUAAACCUAAAUACGUGUAUUUAGCUGAAUGUACUGGAAGAAUAAGGAUCGGCUAACUCCGUGCCAGCAGCCGCGGUAAUACGGAGGAUCCGAGCGUUAUCCGGAUUUAUUGGGUUUAAAGGGUGCGUAGGCGGCCUAUUAAGUCAGGGGUGAAAUACGGUGGCUCAACCAUCGCAGUGCCUUUGAUACUGAUGGGCUUGAAUCCAUUUGAAGUGGGCGGAAUAAGACAAGUAGCGGUGAAAUGCAUAGAUAUGUCUUAGAACUCCGAUUGCGAAGGCAGCUCACUAAGCUGGUAUUGACGCUGAUGCACGAAAGCGUGGGGAUCGAACAGGAUUAGAUACCCUGGUAGUCCACGCCCUAAACGAUGAUAACUCGAUGUUGGCGAUAGACAGCCAGCGUCCAAGCGAAAGCGUUAAGUUAUCCACCUGGGGAGUACGCCCGCAAGGGUGAAACUCAAAGGAAUUGACGGGGGCCCGCACAAGCGGAGGAGCAUGUGGUUUAAUUCGAUGAUACGCGAGGAACCUUACCCGGGCUUGAAAGUUAGUGAAGAAUGCAGAGACGCAUUCGUCCUUCGGGACACGAAACUAGGUGCUGCAUGGCUGUCGUCAGCUCGUGCCGUGAGGUGUUGGGUUAAGUCCCGCAACGAGCGCAACCCCUAUGUUUAGUUGCCAGCAUGUAAUGGUGGGGACUCUAAACAGACUGCCUGUGCAAACAGUGAGGAAGGUGGGGACGACGUCAAGUCAUCAUGGCCCUUACGUCCGGGGCUACACACGUGCUACAAUGGAUGGUACAGCGGGCAGCUACAUAGCAAUAUGAUGCNNNUCUCUAAAAGCCAUUCACAGUUCGGAUUGGGGUCUGCAACUCGACCCCAUGA